GUGCUCGCCUCAGAAGCGUGUAUACUAAAAUUGGAAUGAUACAGAGAAGAUUAGCAUGGCCCCUCAGCAAGGAUGACAUGCAAAUUUGUGAAGCAUUCCAUAUUUUU
rnacentral:snRNA from 1 species